rnacentral:rRNA from 1 species
UGGGGAAUAUUGCACAAUGGGAGCAAGCCUGAUGCAGCCAUGCCGCGUGUAUGAAGAAGGCCUUCGGGUUGUAAAGUACUUUCAGCGGGGAGGAAGGGAGUAAAGUUAAUACCUUUGCUCAUUGACGUUACCCGCAGAAGAAGCACCGGCUAACUCCGUGCCAGCAGCCGCGGUAAUACGGAGGGUGCAAGCGUUAAUCGGAAUUACUGGGCGUAAAGCGCACGCAGGCGGUUUGUUAAGUCAGAUGUGAAAUCCCCGGGCUCAACCUGGGAACUGCAUCUGAUACUGGCAAGCUUGAGUCUCGUAGAGGGGGGUAGAAUUCCAGGUGUAGCGGUGAAAUGCGUAGAGAUCUGGAGGAAUACCGGUGGCGAAGGCGGCCCCCUGGACGAAGACUGACGCUCAGGUGCGAAAGCGUGGGGAGCAAACAGG